rnacentral:tRNA from 1 species
GAGGGUAUGCUCAGUGGUAGAGUACUUGCCUCAAAUGCACAAGGGCCUGGGUUCAAUUCCCAGCAUCAUUA